GGGCAGGGAGAUACGUGGGUGAGAUAUAUGAGCGUUUCCGCUCCCGAUUACCGGCGGAGAAGUGGUCAUUUCGUGAGAAGUGUGCGUUACUGAGCAACAGACCACACACACACACCCACACACACCCGCUCAUAUCCACACCGAUGCACCUAAACUUGUAUGUAACACCUGCUCCUCUGGCAAGCCUGUUACCUCUGACCGUGUGAAGGCAAUACAAGCGUCUAAACCAU